CAAGCUCUAGUGGAGAUGUAAGAAGGUGGAACGAAUGAAACAAGGAUGUCUGCAUAGAGGGGUUGCUAGAGGACCGUUAAGACCCCAGGUAGGAAAAAAAGGUUAUUCUAUAAAUUUGUUGAGAAUUUUAUUUCACUAAGACUUUUUCAAACGGGGACAUCAAUACCACAAUAAUAGAGGAAAUCAGCAACAACCAUACACCUGGCCCCAAAGAAAUGGUAGGGACCAACCUCGAGGACAUUUCAAGGGAGGUCAGAAGCUGCAAAAUUAAGGUACUAUUCAGUGCUA
rnacentral:lncRNA from 1 species